GAUGAACGCUGGUGGCGUGCCUAACACAUGCAAGUCGAGCGAUUCUCUUCGGGAAGAGCGGCGGACGGGUUAGUAACGCGUGGGUAACCUUCCCUGUACCCACGGAUAACAUACCGAAAGGUAUGCUAAUACGAGAUAACAUGCUUUUAUCGCAUGGUAGAAGUAUCAAAGCUUUUGCGGUACAGGAUGGACCCGCGUCUGAUUAGCUAGUUGGUGAGGUAACGGCUCACCAAGGCGACGAUCAGUAGCCGACCUGAGAGGGUGAUCGGCCACAUUGGAACUGAGACACGGUCCAAACUCCUACGGGAGGCAGCAGUGGGGAAUAUUGCACAAUGGGCGAAAGCCUGAUGCAGCAACGCCGCGUGAGCGAUGAAGGCCUUCGGGUCGUAAAGCUCUGUCCUCAAGGAAGAUAAUGACGGUACUUGAGGAGGAAGCCCCGGCUAACUACGUG
rnacentral:rRNA from 1 species